rnacentral:lncRNA from 1 species
UUCACCUUUAGUUAUUUCGUGACUCUUCAACCGGUGACUAAUAAUUUGGUGAUCAGUGUAAUUACGGGAAAACAUUGUGCGUUUCCGAGUUGAAACAGUGUUUUAAUGUCUCCUAGUGGGAUAACUAUUGUUUUGUUAUUUAAAAAAUAUGCAGUGAAUGGUGGUUUGAUAAAUCUAUCGUGCAUCGGUGGUUUAUAAAACGUGCUACUGCGUGUGUUAGUGGAUUUACGUACUUUUAUAGUGAUUCAUUCGAUAACACUAUUUUCGGUACAUUGGAAUAACUCUUAAUGUUUCCAGGGUGCAGGAUCUGAUCAAUGAAAAUGGACUAGAGAAAAGGAAGGAACUUUCGAAAGCAUGAUCGAAAGCGUCUUGAAUUUCCAAGACAACCCACCAGGCAGCUCCAGCAUUCUUGUUUAAAUCGCUCAGUGGGGUACAUGCAGCUUUUAUGAAAAGGAUACCAGUCGCCAUGAGAAUGGUAAGUUUUCUUCAGAAUUCUCCUUCAAUUUAUGCAGCGACAAAAUAUUUAAUCGAUGUGUAGUAUUGAUAUUGAGUGACAAUAAUUAGGGAAUUUAUCAGAGGAAAGCGAAUCCCAAAUCUGAAUAUCUGGUGAUUUAACUAGAGAAAAUCCUCCCAACUCCUUAAAAAGCAACUUUACAACAUUUAACCACAUUUACAAUCGUCGAAUUUCUGCUUAUCAGUUAUUGACACGUCCGAACGUGUUUUCAUAAACAGUUACGUCGUCACGGAAAAACGUAAAAGCCAAUUUACAUUCAAGUGCCUCAUUUUUACGACUUUUUAUUAUUCUUCGCGGCACAACAAUCAAUUUUUUAAUAUUAAACUUCUCGAAUGAAACAUCCUUGGAAUGCACCGAAUUUAAUACUGACAAAUUAUCGGUUAGGAGCUGGCCAUUUUUUACGGUUUUAAAUGACAGUUUUUGGCUCCAUUGCUGCUUAUAACACGGUUUUAAAUCAAGCAGAUAUGGUUUCGUUUUGAAGUAAUCUUUGCACGCGACCAAAAUUCUCCAAAUACCGACUAGAAUUUAAAAUAUUUUCUGGUGCGCGUCUAAGUAAUUGAAGUUAGAAGAAAUAAAUCGACGGCCAACAAUGACCCAGAACCAACUCGAACUGUGCAUAGCCACAGUAUAGCGAUUGGUUGCGAUGACAAGUGAACCUCCCAUAUCGUUCCGUACUUUUACUUCAACAAAUAAUCGGUCGAUUUCUCGAUAUCAAAAGCACUCGACGGGGUGUCCACUUCAUGUCAGUAACUACUACAUUUAUUACCGUUCAUACGCCGUUUCUAACUGGAGACCGCCUUACUGCCCAGAUCACGAUCCAUCUGACGAAGCGCCGCGUCAUUUACAAUAAAUCCUACUGUCAAUUUAAAUUGAAUAAAUUUAAUGCAAUCGCUUAUAAUGUUUAUGUUUUGGUUGCGCAAUAUUGACUGAAAGGAUAGUUUUGUAUUGUAUUGUGCUUAUUGGUCCUGACGGCAAAGCACUCGCUCGAUAUGCUUCUGUUUGGUCUUUGAAGAGUCAUUACCAAAAACAACGUGUACUUUAUAGUAAAAUUAAUGAAAACUUUUUAAUGUGAAAAAACGGACGACAAUCGUCAAAUGUACAAACGAAAUGGGAGCGAAAUGGUGCACAGUUUCCAGUUCCUGGAUAAAUAGAAAAAUUCAAAUUCAAACUUGAUGAGAAUGCUCGCCCCCGAAACCAUUCCAAGAAAACAUAAAUUACGUAAUUUUUCACAAUAAAAUAUGUCUUGUUGUAACCGUAGAAUCUGCAGCUUCGUCUGGUAAAGUUCUUCAGGGGAUCAGGAAAAACCUUUCUACUCUAGGCACAUCGCAUUUUGAAUUGGUCUUGAUCUGGCAAAAAGUAUCUUAUUUAGAAAAGAAAACUGCACAACCCGAUACCAAAAUCUGAGUUAAAUGUCGCGCUUAAUCGAUAGUCUGCAUAAAAAACGCAUGGUGCUAAGUUAGGAGAUAAUGGAAGCCAUAAUGUGAAUUGGUCUCAUCUAUUUUACCUCACCUCAGAAGUGAAGAAUUUUCAAUCAGUCGCUUUUCGACUAUUCCUGAAGAGGAAUACGGCUGAAAAGACUUGAAGCCGUAGAAAGCUUAAUGCUAACUGCAGCAGUAGAAACGCCCAGGUUCUUGAAAAGUUAAGAUAAAUCGGAGAUCUACCGAAACCUGCAGUGGUAAACAAUCAGGGAAUCCACGCAAGAGAAAAACAAUAUAUGGAACCUCUCGAAAUAACUCAAAAAUAGAAUAUAAAACGAGCCAGCCAAAGACAACUAAAAGGACAAACUUAUGAAGGAACGACAAAGAAAGAACCAAAAAGACGGCCAAUAUAUUGGGUACAGCGUUUUUAUCUAAAAGGCCAUAGAAGAUCCAAGAAUGUCCACCUCUGCAAAAAAAACAGUUUUAAUUCAGUAUUUCCAAUAUUUGGUUGUGAGAACAAAAGAGGUCAUUUUCCUGAAAUCCCUCUUAGUUCGGGCCUUCAAAACUUUUAUGAGGCCAACAACUGACUUCCACCAACAAAGCAGAAAUUUUAAUUCUCUGUCUUCUGUACCUACCAUCCAAAAACAUUAAGUGAUUUUCAGCAAAUCCUUAAUAAUAAUUACCAUAUUCUUUAUUGUGAAUCAGUUGUGUUUAUUAAUAUUUGCAUUUUGGUCUUUGAUACUUCAACCUGUACGCACUUACUUAAAUAAUUUAAUUCACAUGCAUUAAAAGUGCCCUUCAAAUAGAUCAAUCAAAUCAAUUAAACUAAAUAACAAAUGUAAUCGAAUUAAUUGAUUCUUGUUUAUAUGCGAAGUAUUUGGCGUCAAAUCGCUUUAAUUCGCACUAGUCGCAGAAAAAAAAGCUCAAAACCGUUUGGUUCUAAAAAGAAAUUCCAAUUCAC